rnacentral:rRNA from 1 species
UACGUAGGGUGCAAGCGUUGUCCGGAAUUAUUGGGCGUAAAGAGCGUGUAGGCGGCUCGGUAAGUCCGCUCUGAAAGCCCGGGGCUCAACCCCGGGAGGCGGGCGGAUACUGUCGGGCUAGAGUCCGGAAGAGGCGAGUGGAAUUCCUGGUGUAGCGGUGAAAUGCGCAGAUAUCAGGAGGAACACCAAUGGCGAAGGCAGCUCGCUGGGACGGUACUGACGCUGAGACGCGAAAGCGUGGGGAGCAAACAGG